AACGAACGCUGGCGGCAGGCCUAACACAUGCAAGUCGAGCGCCCCGCACGGGGAGCGGCAGACGGGUGAGUAACACGUGGGAAUCUACCCCUCCCUACGGAACAACUCCGGGAAACAGGAGCCAAUACGGUAUACGCCCUCUGGGGGGAAGAUUUAUAUGGGAUGGAUGGGCCCGCGUGGGAUUAGCUAGUUGGUGGGGGAAAGGCCUACCAAGGCGACGAUGCAUAGCUGGUGUGAGAGGAUGAUCAGCCACAUUGGGACUGAGACACGGUGCAAACUCCUACGGGAGGCAGCAGUGGGGAAUAUUGGACAAUGGGCGCAAGCCUGAUCCAGCCAUGCCGCGUGAAUGAUGAAGGCCUUAGGGUUGUAAAGUUCUUUCACCGAUGAAGAUAAUGACGGUAGUCGGAGAAGAAGCCCCGGCUAACUUCGUGCCAGCCGCCGCCGUAA
rnacentral:rRNA from 1 species